AACGAGCAUACGAGUGCGCCGCGGACAGCAAACAAUUGCAGGACGAGCUUGAAUGCAUCUAUGCCGCCGGAUGUGCACACGGAUGCGGUGAGCACUGCAUUGAUGGAGUCCACCACCGAGUGCGAGCGGCCGGCCGGCCUAAGCAGCGGGAUGGGGGGCAGACCGGCACCGGCGGGGAGAGCAGGUAUAUGCCAGUGCCGUGCGCCUUGACUGAGUCAAGGGUCAUACGUGGUCUGGCUGGCGGGAGCAGGGGGAGAAUUGCAGCUGAACGGUUGCCGACUCUAUGUAGUGUGCUGCGUGGCGGGGGGGAUGUGCGAGGCGGCACUGAGGGGUCAGGGGUGUAUGGGGUGCCAGUUGCAUUCCGUCAACGGAGUGCAGACUCGGCGUGUGUGGGUGUGACGAGGAGAGCACUGGGGC
rnacentral:lncRNA from 1 species